rnacentral:rRNA from 1 species
GACGAACGCUGGCGGCGUGCUUAACACAUGCAAGUCGAACGGAAAGGCCCUGCUUUUGUGGGGUGCUCGAGUGGCGAACGGGUGAGUAACACGUGAGUAACCUGCCCUUGACUUUGGGAUAACUUCAGGAAACUGGGGCUAAUACCGGAUAGGAGCUCCUGCUGCAUGGUGGGGGUUGGAAAGUUUCGGCGGUUGGGGAUGGACUCGCGGCUUAUCAGCUUGUUGGUGGGGUAGUGGCUUACCAAGGCUUUGACGGGUAGCCGGCCUGAGAGGGUGACCGGCCACAUUGGGACUGAGAUACGGCCCAGACUCCUACGGGAGGCAGCAGGGGGGAAUAUGGCACAAUGGGCGGAAGCCUGAUGCAGCAACGCCGCGUGCGGGAUGACGGCCUUCGGGUUGUAAACCGUUUUCGCCUGUGACGAAGCGUGAGUGACGGUAAUGGGUAAAGAAGCACCGGCUAACUACGUG